UACGUAGGUGGCAAGCGUUGUCCGGAAUUACUGGGCGUAAAGGAUGUGUAGGCGGAUGCUUAAGUGAGAUGUGAAAUCCCCGGGCUUAACUUGGGGUCUGCAUUUCAAACUGGGUAUCUAGAGUGCAGGAGAGGAAAGCGGAAUUCCUAGUGUAGCGGUGAAAUGCGUAGAGAUUAGGAAGAACAUCAGUGGCGAAGGCGGCUUUCUGGACUGUAACUGACGCUGAGGCAUGAAAGCGUGGGGAGCAAACAGG
rnacentral:rRNA from 1 species